CCUAACGGUUAAUACCCGUUAGCGAUGACAUUAGCUGCAGAAUAAGCACCGGCUAACUCUGUGCCAGCAGCCGCGGUAAUACAGAGGGUGCAAGCGUUAAUCGGAAUUACUGGGCGUAAAGCGAGCGUAGGUGGCUUGAUAAGUCAGAUGUGAAAUCCCCGGGCUUAACCUGGGAACUGCAUCUGAUACUGUUAGGCUAGAGUAGGUGAGAGGGAAGUAGAAUUUCAGGUGUAGCGGUGAAAUGCGUAGAGAUCUGAAGGAAUACCGAUGGCGAAGGCAGCUUCCCGGCAUCAUACUGACACUGAGGCUCGAAAGCGUGGGUAGCAAACAGGAUUAGAUACCCUGGUAGUCCACGCCGUAAACGAUGUC
rnacentral:rRNA from 1 species